UCCUGUUGUGGGAACACUUGUGCAUCCGUGCCCGGCGCAGCUCGGAAAUAGAAUCAGCCUAGAUGUCUACGGACUGACGCCUGGAAAAUGGAGACGCGGUCUGCGGACACAAUGGGCUUUUGUUCAGUUACGUCACCAACCCCCGCCUCCCCAACACACAUGAAGCUCAGAGAACAUCAGAGAAGAGGUAACAGAAAGAAGCUAGGAGCUGGAGGAUCCGCAGGGGUGCUGCGAACAGCGGUCUCCGGAAGGGACGCGGCCUUGGUGGUCAUGGACUCACAGCAGCUCUGUUGACCUGAGCAGAUCAAGCUUGCCAACAUUCCAGCAUGGACUAGGGAGAGCCAACAUCAAGCUGUCGGAUUCUGGAUUUCAGACUGAUGCACACUUUCUACUAACAUACGCUCCUCUCGCUCAGUGAGGUCCACCCAGAGCCGCUCCCUUCUGGAAUGGUAGCCGGAGAGGCUAGGCAAGGCCUCCUCUUGUCCUCUGGCCCAGGCCAACGCCAGCAACAGUGGCCUGUAGACAAGCCAGGGGUAAAUAUUG